GCGACCCUAUAUUAACGGGCACGGGUAUCCUAACCGUGAUAAGGUAGCGUACUCGCUUGUUCUUUAAAUGAGGAGUAGUAUCAAUGGCACCACGAACGGUCAUGCUGUCUCCUUUCUUUAGUCAGUCAUAAUAAUCACUCGGUGAAUAAGCGGGAAUAUAACAUAUAAGACGAGAAUACCCUAUGGAGCAUUAAUCCGAGUAACAAUUGCUAAAUUACCAUCCCGGCCCCAAAUUUGCAAGGCAUAUUGAUUACAAGUUUUAGGUUGGGGUGACCGCGGAGCAGAAAAUAGCCUCCGCAUUGAAGGCUUUUCUAACCCUCAAGCCACAACUUUAAGCAUCAAUAAAUUGACCCUAAUUGACCCAAGGUUUUGAUCAAUGAACCAGUUACCCUAGGGAUAACAGCUCAGUCCGCUACAAGAGCAAAUAUCGGCAAGUGGGUUUACGCCCUCGAUGUUGGAUCAGGG
rnacentral:rRNA from 1 species